rnacentral:rRNA from 1 species
GAUGAACGCUAGCGAUAGGCCUAACACAUGCAAGUCGAGGGGCAUCACAUGAAGUAGCAAUACGGAUGGUGGCGACCGGCGCACGGGUGAGUAACACGUAUGCAACCUGCCUUCAACAAGGGGAUAACCCGUUGAAAGACGGACUAAUACCCUAUAACACAGGGGUCCCGCAUGGGAAUAUUUGUUAAAGGACAACCGGUUGAAGAUGGGCAUGCGUUCCAUUAGCUAGUUGGCGGGGUAACGGCCCACCAAGGCAACGAUGGAUAGGGGAACUGAGAGGUUUAUCCCCCACACUGGUACUGAGACACGGACCAGACUCCUACGGGAGGCAGCAGUGAGGAAUAUUGGUCAAUGGACGCAAGUCUGAACCAGCCACGUCGCGUGAAGGAAGACGGCCCUACGGGUUGUAAACUUCUUUUAUACGGGGAAUAAAGUGCCCCACGCGUGGGGUUUUGCAUGUACCGUAUGAAUAAGGAUCGGCUA